rnacentral:rRNA from 1 species
UUUCCGGUUGAUCCUGCCGCCGGCCACCGCUAUCAAGUUCCGACUAAGCCAUGCGAGUCAAGGUAUCGUAAGAUGCCGGCAAACUGCUCAGUAACACGUGGAUAAUCUAACCUUGAGUAAGGGAUAACCUCGGGAAACUGAGGAUAAUACCUUAUAAUUGCUUAAAACUGGAAUGUUUAAGCAAUAAAAGUUCCGACGCUCAAGGAUGAGUCUGCGACCUAUCAGGUAGUAGGUGGUGUAAUGGACCACCUAGCCUCAGACGGGUACGGGCCCUGGGAGGGGUAGCCCGGAGAUGGACUCUGAGACAUCAGUCCAGGCCCUACGGGGCGCAGCAGGCGCGAACACUGUGCAAUGCGCGAAAGCGCGACACGGGGAGCUUGAGUGUCUUGGCAUAGCCAAGACUUUUCUCAUUCCUAAAAAGCAUGAGGAAUAAGUGCUGGGUAAGACGGGUGCCAGCCGCCGCGGUAACACCCGCAGCACAAGUGGUGGUCACUUUUAUUGAGCCUAAAGCGUUCGUAGCCGGUUUUGUAAAUCUUUAGAUAAAGCCUGAAGCUUAACUCCAGAAAGUCUGAAGAGACUGCAAGACUUGAGAUCGGGUGAGGUUAAACGUACUUUCAGGGUAGGGGUAAAAUCCUGUAAUCCCGGAAGGACGACCAGUGGCGAAAGCGUUUAACUAGAACGAGUCUGACGGUAAGGAACGAAGGCUAGGGUAGCAAACCGGAUUAGAUACCCGGGUAGUCCUAGCUGUAAACACUGCCCAUUUGAUGUUGCUUUUCCGUUGAGGGAAGGCAGUGUCGGAGCGAAGGUGUUAAAUGGGCCGCUUGGGAAGUAUGGUCGCAAGACUGAAACUUAAAGGAAUUGGCGGGGGAGCACCGCAACGGGAGGAAUGUGCGGUUUAAUUGGAUUCAACGCCGGA